GACGAACCGUGCGAACGUUGUUCGGAAUCACUGGGCUUAAAGGGCGCGUAGGCGGGUCGGCAGGUCAGGGGUGAAAUCCUGGAGCUCAACUCCAGAACUGCCUUUGAUACUGAGGAGCUUGAGUCCGGGAGAGGUGAGUGGAACUGCGAGUGUAGAGGUGAAAUUCGUAGAUAUUCGCAAGAACACCAGUGGCGAAGGCGGCUCACUGGCCCGGUACUGACGCUGAGGUGCGAAAGCGUGGGGAGCAAACAGG
rnacentral:rRNA from 1 species